rnacentral:rRNA from 1 species
GACGAACGCUGGCGGCGUGCUUAACACAUGCAAGUCGAACGGAAAGGCCUUUUCGGAGGUACUCGAGUGGCGAACGGGUGAGUAACACGUGGGUGAUCUGCCCUGCACUCUGGGAUAAGCCUGGGAAACUGGGUCUAAUACCGGAUAGGACCGCACUUUAGUGUGUGUGGUGGAAAGUUUUUUCGGUGUAGGAUGAGCCCGCGGCCUAUCAGCUUGUUGGUGGGGUAAUGGCCUACCAAGGCGGCGACGGGUAGCCGGACUGAGAGGUUGGUCGGCCACAUUGGGACUGAGAUACGGCCCAGACUCCUACGGGAGGCAGCAGUGGGGAAGAUUGCACAAUGGGCGCAAGCCUGAUGCAGCGACGCCGCGUGGGGGAUGACGGCCUUCGGGUUGUAAACUCCUUUCGCCAGGGACGAAGCGUUUUGUGACGGCACCUGGAGAAGAAGCACCGGCUAACUACGUG